rnacentral:rRNA from 1 species
UGGGGCGUAAAGCGCAUGCAAGGUGGUUUGUUAAGUCAGAUGGAAAGCCCGGGGCUCAACCUCGGAGCUGCAUUUGAAACUGGCAGGCUAGAGUACUGUAGAGGGGGGUAGAAUUUCAGGUGUAGCGUGAAAUGCGUAGAGAUCUGAAGGAAUACCGGUGGUCGAAGGCGGCCCCCUGGACAGAUACUGACACUCAGAUGCGAAAGCGUGGGGAGCAAACAGGAUUAGAUACCCUGGUAGUCCACGCUGUAAACGAUGUCUACUUGGAGGUUGUGGCCUUGAGCCGUGGCUUUCGGAGCUAACGCGUUAAGUAGACCGCCUGGGGAGUACGGUCGCAAGAUUAAAACUCAAAUGAAUUGACGGGGGCCCGCACAAGCGGUGGAGCAUGUGGUUUAAUUCGAUGCAACGCGAAGAACCUUACCUACUCUUGACAUCCAGAGAAUCCUGCGGAGACGCGGGAGUGCCUUCGGGAACUCUGAGACAGGUGCUGCAUGGCUGUCGUCAGCUCGUGUUGUGAAAUGUUGGGUUAAGUCCCGCAACGAGCGCAACCCUUAUCCUUGUUUGCCAGCGAGUAAUGUCGGGAACUCCAGGGAGACUGCCGGUGAUAAACCGGAGGAAGGUGGGGACGACGUCAAGUCAUCAUGGCCCUUACGAGUAGGGCUACACACGUGCUACAAUGGCGCAUACAGAGGGCGGCGAGCUAGCGAUAGUGAGCGAAUCCCAAAAAGUGCGUCGUAGUCCGGAUUGGAGUCUGCAACUCGACUCCAUGAAGUCGGAAUCGCUAGUAAUCGUGGAUCAGAAUGCCACGGUGAAUACGUUCCCGGGCCUUGUACACACCGCCCGUCACACCAUGGGAGUGGGCUGCAAAAGAAGCAGGUAGUUUAACCUUCGGGAGGACGCUUUCCCAUAUUUUGUUUCCCAC